UUGAGCUAUUUCUGUUUGAUUUGUUAGGAAAUUAGUUUUGUCCGUUUACAAGUUAACAUUGCUUGUGUUAUUUUUGGCAAGUAAUCAUUUCUUAUAUAAAUUUUUGUACACUAUAGGCUUAUCUUUUUAAAUUUUAGGUAGCGUGUGGAGAUUUCAUCUUAUGUUCAUGAGCGCACAACGUAUAAAAUCAUAAGAAAUGUUUUCUGUUGGUGUGUAGCAGUUAACCGCAUUUAAGUAAAAAUAUUUUAAAAUAAUUUUUACCAGAGCUGAAUUACAUUCAGGCUUGUGGAGAACAGCUUUUUUUUUAUCUACUGUUUGGCUGGCCAAUGUAAAUAAACAAUGAUUUCAUGAAUGCAGCGAGUUUAUUUGAUGUAUUUUAAAAUCACUGAUAAUAUUUAUUGAUGUAUUUUAAAAUCACUGAUAAUAUUUAUUGAUGUAUUUUAAAAUCACUGAUAAUAUUUAUUGAUGUAUUUUAAAAUUACUGAUAAUAUUUGUUUUGUGGCUGGAAGAUGGUAACCAUGGUGACUUGUGAAUUUUUAUGAAGAUUAAUAAAAAGCAGUAAAAAUUAUUAA